AGUGAACGCUGGCGGUAGGCCUAACACAUGCAAGUCGAACGGCAGCACAGUAAGAGCUUGCUCUUACGGGUGGCGAGUGGCGGACGGGUGAGGAAUACAUCGGAAUCUACUUUUUCGUGGGGGAUAACGUAGGGAAACUUACGCUAAUACCGCAUACGACCUACGGGUGAAAACAGGGGAUCUUCGGACCUUGCGCGAUUGAAUGAGCCGAUGUCGGAUUAGCUAGUUGGCGGGGUAAAGGCCCACCAAGGCGACGAUCCGUAGCUGGUCUGAGAGGAUGAUCAGCCACACUGGAACUGAGACACGGUCCAGACUCCUACGGGAGGCAGCAGUGGGGAAUAUUGGACAAUGGGCGGAAGCCUGAUCCAGCCAUACCGCGUGAGUGAAGAAGGCCUUCGGGUUGUAAAGCCCUUUUGUUGGGAAAGAAAAGCAGCAGGUUAAUCCCCCGCUGUUCUGACGGUCCCCAAAGAAUAAGCACCGGCUAACUUCGUG
rnacentral:rRNA from 1 species